CAUGCGUGCUGUGUUUUUGUUGUCAACUUCUGUCUGCAAUUGCAUUAAAUAAAGGUUUGAUUGAUUUACUUAAAGAAGAUAUUGCCUGACUGCUGAUUUCACCAAUAAGCCAAAGAUUGACAAGGGAGAAGGAACAUACCACGACAGUCCCAUGGUGUUUAUACUUGCAUACUAUUGUUUGUACAAAUGAACGUGGUACCUUCAGGCAUUUCGAAAUUGCUCCCAAGGAUCAACCAGACUUGUGGAUGUCUACAAUUGUUUUUCUGAAGUCUUGGCAGAUUUCUUUUGAUUUUCCCAUGAUGUCAAGCAAAGAGGCACUGAGUUUGAAGAUUGCUGGAUGAUACGGUACAAUUAAUUGCAUACAAGGUUCAUAGUCUGUGUCUUGAGAUAACACCCAAGGAUGAAAAUGAAAGAGACGGAAUGGAGAUCAGCAUCACAUGGGCAUAGAAUGGAGUGGAUGGACAGUUCUUUCCCCAGUCUUAGGUGGAAGCGGCACAUGAGGAGCAGGGGAUAACCGAUGGCACGGGCGGAAUUCUGGAGAUUGAGUAUACAUCAAGAUACCAGGCGGGGGUGUUGGGACAGCGUUGGUCUGGUCCACACACAGUACUCCUUACAGCACCUGCAGCGGUAAAGAUCGUCACGCCGCUCCUCGGUGGGUGCAUAGUUCUCACGUGAAGUGGGGUCCAGCUGCAUAAUGGGUGUGCUUGAAGACGUCAUGACAGAGGAAGCGGAGCUAAUGAGAGAAAGAAAGACUAGAUUCACUGUAGAUAGACAGAUGGGUUGGGUCUGGGAGCUACUUUAAACACCAUAGUUGGGUUGGGUUAGCUGCUUUAUUGGUUAAUGCAUCAUAUGAAAGGAUCGAUUUUGGGGUAAUUGUACUCUAAACAACAUUUUGGAGGCAUUGAUGUGAAAGUCAAGCCAUGGUUGAAGCCGUUUUAGGUUUGGUAUAUAAAGACCCGGUAUUCUCUGUAUGAUUCAAGCGCUCGGUCCGACAGUCAAGGCUGUUGGGCUGACGGUUUCAUCAUUGCAUAAAGAUGAUUGUUUGAAGAAAUGACCAAGUCUCUCUCAGUACUGAAUUUCCAUGGCAACAGCCAAUAUAUCUCUGUUGCUAGUCAGGAACUUAAUUGGUUCCUCUCGCUGGUGUAGUCAUUGUGUGUGUUAUAGGACUGUUCCAUCUCACUUCAUCUUACCUGACCUCAGGCCGAAUUCCUCGCUCCUCCCAACUCCAAGGCUGUCCUACCUUAUCAGUGACUGAAACCAGACUGUUGCCCUUUGCCUCCCGCCUUAGAAUCCAUGAGAUUUAACAAUAACAUAUUUGACAGAAUGUAAACUUCCUGCCUCCCCCUCUUGUCUCACUCAGUAACUUUCCAUACACUUAGUUCUUAUCCACCCUCCAUUUACCAGCAUAUACAGUACCAGUCAAAAGUUUGGACACCUACUCAUUCCAGGGUUUUUCUUUAUUUUUACUAUUUUCUACAUUGUAGAAUAAUAGUGAAGACUUCAAAACUAUGAAAUAACACAUAUGGAAUCCUGAAGUAACCAAAAAAGUGUUAAAUAUACUGCUCAAAAAAAUAAAGGGAACAC